GCCGCUUAUCGCAGGAGCCUCCACGGGGCGAGCGGCGGGCAACAGCAUUUUGCUGGCAGAUACCUGCG
rnacentral:ribozyme from 1 species